rnacentral:rRNA from 1 species
UAAGGUGACUAUUGCAUUGGGGAUCCACCUCUUCCCAUUCCGAACAGAGAAGUUAAGCCCAAUAACGCCGAUGGUACUGCGCAAGUGGGAGAGUAGGAAGUCUCCGUUU